UUUCAAUCCAUCUCGCUCUCUCUCAAAACUUUACCUUCUUCUUCAUAAACCUUAUUUCUUGGUUGUUCAAUCCCUGAUUUACAGAUACAGAAUUUUGGUCCAACAGGUUGUUAAGCGAUGUUGAGCUUCCAACGUGAAUGGUUUUUCCCAACUUGUGGUUACUCUCUAGUCAGUAACCCUCUCGGAAGAUCUAGGGUUAAGAAUUGAAGACGGAGGAUACACGGAGAAGUGUGCACUUCUCUCUAAGAGAUCGAUUAGGUCUCUUUGCGGCGGCGGUGGUAAUAGUGUCAUUCUGCGAUGAGGCAAACACCUAAGAGGUUGCAAGCACUUGAUGACUUUGAGAUUUGCCAUAACAUGUCACCUGCUGAGCUCAUUGACCAUUUUGCUUCACUCAGGUUCACCUCUACGACUACAAAUAUAUGACUAAUACUUGAUAUAUAUUUAUCUAUCUAAUGUAAACACAAAAUUAGUGGGUAAGACAAUCCCCUAGAUAUUUUAUUCAUCACUUUGCUUAUGGUUAUAGAUAAUCUAUUAAGUUGCAGAAUGGAAGUUAACACUUUAUAUAUAUUAUAUGUUUUUUAAUUGAAAUAUAGGUAUGAAACUUCUGUUCAUUUGUGGCCUGAUCACAGGCUAUAUAAAUGGUUAAUUGCAUGUGGUCUCGAGACUGUUUUGCUCACACUUGCUGGUCGUGAGGUUCAAAAAGGGUUGCUAUGUUUUACUAAAUUGGCAGCUUAGCUUAGCUUAGCUGAAGCCGCUUAUUGCUCUUUUUUUAAUAGAAGCUUGAAAUUACAAAGGCGUUACCUUGCAUAAAUGUGGCCGACAUGGUAAUUACUACAUUCUGGUUCAAAAAGGGUUGCUAUGUUUUACUAAAUUGGCAGCUUAGCUUAGCUGAAGCUGCUUAUUGCUCUUUUUUUAAUAGCAGCUACUAAUCUAAGUUUUUUAAUUUUCCAUUAAAAAAAAUCUAAGUUUUUUAAGCUAGAAAUGGACUGUAGAAUUUGAACCAAUGGCUUCGAUCUACACCAAGACCUAGAGGUAAUGAACAACUAAGGCCCAUAUUUUUCGGUUCAGUUUACACUUUUAAGCAUAGUUGAGUUGAAUUUUAGUGUUGUGGAAUAGUGAAGUGAUACGGAUGUAAACAAUUUAGAGUGAUAAUUUAAUGCUUCGUAUUUUCGUUA